ACGAACGCUGGCGGCGUGCUUAACACAUGCAAGGCGAACGGAAAGGCCCUGCUUUUGUGGGGUGCUCGGGUGGCGAAAGGGGGAGUAACACGUGAGUAACCUGCCCUUGACUUUGGGAUAACUUCAGGAAACUGGGGCUAAUACCGGAUAGGAGCUCCUGCUGCAUGGGGGGGGGUGGAAAGUUUCGGCGGUUGGGGAUGGACUCGCGGCUUAUCCGCUUGUUGGUGGGGUAGUGGCUUACCAAGGCUUUGACGGGUAGCCGGCCUGAGAGGGUGACCGGCCACAUUGGGACUGAGAUACGGCCCAGACUCCUACGGGAGGCAGCAGUGGGGAAUAUUGCACAAUGGGCGGAAGCCUGAUGCAGCAACGCCGCGUGCGGGAUGACGGCCUUCGGGUUGUAAACCGCUUUCGCCUGUGACGAAGCGUGAGUGACGGUAAUGGGUAAAGAAGCACCGGCUAACUACGU
rnacentral:rRNA from 1 species